CCUGAACGCUGGCGGCGUGGCUAAGACAUGCAAGUCGCACGGACCCGCAAGGGUUAGUGGCGAACGGGUGAGUAAUGAAUCGCUAAUGUACCCCGGACUCUGGGAUAGCCGGCCGAAAGGCCGGGUAAUACCAGAUGAUAUAACCGCUCCGCAUGGAGUGGUUCUCAAAGGUCCGCCGGUCUGGGAGCAGGCGAUUUCGUAUCAGCUAGUUGGUGAGGUAACGGCUCACCAAGGCGACGACGCGUAGCCGGACUGAGAGGUUGGCCGGCCACAUUGGGACUGAGACACUGCCCAGACUCCUACGGGGGGCUGCAGUAACGAAUCUUCCGCAAUGUACGCAAGUAUGACGGAGCGACGCCGCGUGUAGGAUGAAG
rnacentral:rRNA from 1 species